GAUGAACGCUGGCGGCGUGCCUAAUACAUGCAAGUCGAGCGAAUGGAUUAAGAGUUUGCUCUUAUGAAGUUAGCGGCGGACGGGUGAGUAACACGUGGGUAACCUGCCCAUAAGACUGGGAUAACUCCGGGAAACCGGGGCUAAUACCGGAUAACAUUUUGAACCGCAUGGUUCGAAAUUGAAAGGCGGCUUCGGCUGUCACUUAUGGAUGGACCCGCGUCGCAUUAGCUAGUUGGUGAGGUAACGGCUCACCAAGACAACGAUGCGUAGCCGACCAGAGAGGGUGAUCGGCAACACUGGGACUGCGACACGGCCCAGACUCCUACGGGUGGCAGCAGUAGGGAAUCUUCCGCAAUGGACGAAAGUCUGACGGAGCAACGCGGCGUGAGUGAUGAAGGCUUUCGGGUCGUAAAACUCUGUUGUUAGGGAAAAACAAGUGCUAGUUGAAUAAGCUGGCACCUUGACGGUACCUAACCGGAAAGCCACGGCUAACUACGUGCCAGCAGCCGCCGUAA
rnacentral:rRNA from 1 species